rnacentral:lncRNA from 1 species
GAGGCUCUAAAGAGCCUGUGUCGCUCACCUUGGUCUAUGUGAAUAUUAAACAAAGGACACACAUGGAUUCAUGACAAAAUUGUUUUUUGAUGAUGGUGAUGUCUUUGUAGAUCUUACUUUACUAAACAUUCUUGCUGCUUACAAUUAUCUCUAUCUAUAAUGAACUGGGCCCAGUAGUUUCAGUGGAAAAUGUUAGUUAGAAUAUACAAAUUUUAUGAAAAUUGUUAAAAAUUGACUAUAAAGGGCAAUAACUCCUUAGGGGGUCAAUUGACCAUUUUGGUCAUGUUGACUUAUUUUUAGGUCUUACUUUGCUGUACAUUAUUGCUGUUUACAGUUUAUCUCUAUCUAUAAUAAUAUUCAAGAUAGUAACAAAAAAAAAACAGCAAAAUUUCCUUAAAAAUUACAAAUUCAGGGGCAGCAAUCUAACAACCGCUUGUCUGAUUUAUCUGAAAAUUCCAGGGCAGAUAGAUAUGUACCUGAUCAACAAUUUCACUUCCGGUCAGAUCUUCCGGUCAGAUUUG